rnacentral:rRNA from 1 species
AUAUCAGUCAUGCAUAGCAUAUCAAUAAGCGGAGGAAAAGAAACUAACAAGGAUUCCCUAGUAACGGCGAGUGAAGCGGGAAGAGCUCAAAUUUGAAAUCUUAAAGGGUUUCCCUUGACGAAUUGUAGUUUAUAGAAGUGUUUUCUGUUAGUAGAGUGGCAAAAGUUCUUUGGAAUAGGACAUCAUAGAGGGUGAGAAUCCCGUAUUUGGUCAUUCCUUCUAGCUUUGUGAUACACUUUCAACGAGUCGGAUUGUUUGGGAAUGCAGUCCAAAAUGGGUGGUAAAUUUCAUCUAAAGCUAAAUAUUGGCGAGAGACCGAUAGCGAACAAGUACCGUGAGGGAAAGAUGAAAAGAACUUUGAAAAGAGAGUUAAACAGUACGUGAAAUUGUCAAAAGGGAAGCGUUUGACACCAGUGUUGUUUUUCCGAAAAUCAAUUACGAAUGUUUUGUUUUUAAGAAGUUAUGACUUCAUCGGCUUGCUCCUUUCUUUACGAAACUUUCUUAAUGCACUUUUCGGUUAACAAGUCAACAUCAAUUUCUUUUGUUGUAAAAGGGUAUGAGGAAGGUGGCUUUCUUUUCGGAGAAAGUGUUUAUAGCCUUGUACCUCUGCAAUCGGAGAGAUUGAGGUCUGCAGCGUAGAUCCUUCGGGGUUAGAUACGUUUGUGCUAAGUUAUAGCUUUUCAUAGACAACUUGUUGACUAUGUUUAGUCUUGUAGCUUACUCGCUGAUGCUAUUUUACCUACGCUUAGGAUGUUGAUGUGAUACUGCGAGCA